rnacentral:rRNA from 1 species
AGUGAACGCUGGCGGUAGGCCUAACACAUGCAAGUCGAACGGCAGCACAGUAAGAGCUUGCUCUUACGGGUGGCGAGUGGCGGACGGGUGAGGAAUACAUCGGAAUCUACUUUUUCGUGGGGGAUAACGUAGGGAAACUUACGCUAAUACCGCAUACGACCUACGGGUGAAAGCAGGGGAUCUUCGGACCUUGCGCGAUUGAAUGAGCCGAUGUCGGAUUAGCUAGUUGGCGGGGUAAAGGCCCACCAAGGCGACGAUCCGUAGCUGGUCUGAGAGGAUGAUCAGCCACACUGGAACUGAGACACGGUCCAGACUCCUACGGGAGGCAGCAGUGGGGAAUAUUGGACAAUGGGCGCAAGCCUGAUCCAGCAAUACCGCGUGGGUGAAGAAGGCCUUCGGGUUGUAAAGCCCUGUUGUUGGGAAAGAAAAGCAGCAGGUUAAUACCCCGCUGUGCUGACGGUACCCAAAGAAUAAGCACCGGCUAACUUCGUG